GGUUAAGUUAGAAAGGGCGCACGGUGAAUGCCUUGGCACUAGGAGCCGAAGAAGGACGCGACGAACGGCGAAACGCCUCGGGGAGCUGUAAGUAAGCUUUGAACCGGGGAUAUCCGAAUGGGGGAACCCAUCAUCCGUAAUGGGAUGAUACCCGUAUCUGAAUCCAUAGGAUACGAGGAGGCAGACCUGGGGAACUGAAACAUCUAAGUACCCAGAGGAAGAGAAAGCAAAUGCGAUUUCCCGAGUAGCGGCGAGCGAAACGGAAACAGCCCAAACCAAGAGGCUUGCCUCUUGGGGUUGUAGGACGUCUCAUAUGGAGUCAAAAAAGAAGAGCAUAAGUGAAGCGAUCUGGAAAGAUCCAUCAGAGAGGGUAACAAUCCCGUAGCUGAAAUGCCCUUCUCUCCGAGACGGAUCCUGAGUACGGCGGGACACGUGAAACCCCGUCGGAAUCCGGGAGGACCAUCUCCCAAGGCUAAAUACUCCCUAGUGACCGAUAGUGAACCAGUACCGUGAGGGAAAGGUGAAAAGCACCCCGGGAGGGGAGUGAAAGAGAUCCUGAAACCGUGUGCCUACAACUAGUUGGAGCCCGUUAAUGGGUGACAGCGUGCCUUUUGUAGAAUGAACCGGCGAGUUACGAUAUGUUGCAAGGUUAAGCUGAUGAGGCGGAGCCGUAGCGAAAGCGAGUCUGAAUAGGGCGCAUCAGUAGCAUGUCGUAGACCCGAAACCGUGUGAUCUACCCAUGUCCAGGGUGAAGUUCAGGUAACACUGAAUGGAGGCCCGAACCCACGCACGUUGAAAAGUGCGGGGAUGAGGUGUGGGUAGGGGUGAAAUGCCAAUCGAACUCGGAAAUAGCUGGUUCUCCCCGAAAUAGCUUUAGGGCUAGCCUCGAGGGAAGAGUGUUGGAGGUAGAGCACUGAUUGGACUAGGGGUCCCCACAGGAUUACCGAAUUCAGUCAAACUCCGAAUGCCAAUCACUUAUCCUCGGGAGUCAGACUGCGAGUGCUAAGAUCCGUAGUCAAGAGGGAAACAGCCCAGACCAUCAGCUAAGGUCCCCAAGUAUACGUUAAGUGGAAAAGGAUGUGGAGUUGCCCAGACAACCAGGAUGUUGGCUUAGAAGCAGCCACCAUUUAAAGAGUGCGUAAUAGCUCACUGGUCGAGUGACUCUGCGCCGAAAAUGUACCGGGGCUAAACGUAUCACCGAAGCUAUGGACUCGCACCGUAUGGUGUCAGUGGUAGGGGAGCGUUCUGCGUGCAGCGAAGUCAGACCGAGAGGACUGGUGGAGCGCGCAGAAGUGAGAAUGCCGGUAUGAGUAGCGAAUGAGGGGUGAGAAUCCCCUCCGUCGAAAGCCCAAGGUUUCCUGAGGAAGGCUCGUCCGCUCAGGGUCAGUCGGGACCUAAGCCGAGGCCGAAAGGCGUAGGCGAUGGACAACAGGUAGACAUUCCUGUACCACCUCCUCACCGUUUGAGCAAUGGGGGGACGCAGAAAGGUAGGGUAAGCGCGGCGAUGGAAUGCCGCGUCCAAGCAGGUAGGCUGGAAAGUAGGCAAAUCCGCUUUCCGUAAGGCUGAGCUGUGAUGGCGAGGGAAAUUUAGUACCGAAGUUCCUGAUCCUACACUGCCAAGAAAAGCCUCUAGCGAGGUGUGAGGUGCCCGUACCGCAAACCGACACAGGUAGGCGAGAAGAGAAUUCUAAGACGCUCGGGAGAACUCUCGUUAAGGAACUCGGCAAAAUGACCCCGUAACUUCGGGAGAAGGGGUGCUCUGAUAGGGUGCAAGCCCGAGAGAGCCGCAGUGAAAAGAUCCAAGCGACUGUUUAGCAAAAACACAGGUCUCUGCGAAGCCGCAAGGCGAAGUAUAGGGGCUGACACCUGCCCGGUGCUGGAAGGUUAAGAGGAGGGGUUAUCCCUUUUGGGAGAAGCUCUGAAUUGAAGCCCCAGUAAACGGCGGCCGUAACUAUAACGGUCCUAAGGUAGCGAAAUUCCUUGUCGGGUAAGUUCCGACCCGCACGAAUGGUGUAACGAUUUGGAUACUGUCUCAACGAGAGACCCGGUGAAAUUAUAGUACCUGUGAAGAUGCAGGUUACCCGCGACAGGACGGAAAGACCCCAUGGAGCUUUACUGUAGCUUGAUAUUGGAUGUUGGUACAGUUUGUACAGGAUAGGUAGGAGCCAGAGAAGUCGGAGCGCCAGCUUCGAUGGAGGCGUCGGUGGGAUACUACCCUGACUGUGCUGACAUUCUAACCUCGA
rnacentral:rRNA from 1 species